GAUCCUUGAGAGUGACCAUGAGGGCCAUGU
rnacentral:piRNA from 1 species